AUGUUUUUGCUGCAGUAUUUCUUGGACCUGCUGUCAUUAGUAAAUACUGGAUUGCAUAGAGAGUCAUUCAGAUUUAAGGCAUUGGGAUCAGAUGAGAGAAAAUUCACUGAACCUGUUUCAUGUAACACUCAGACACCCCACUCCCGACUCUCUCUACAGAGAUAUUUUACCAUCCAAAACAAAGGUGCAGAGAUGUGCUAGUCAUGACCCAUUGAGCUGUUCUCUGGAGAUUUUUGUGUCUGCAUAACAGAAGAAAGGAGCAGAGACGCUGAGAGUGAGGAAAUAGUCCAAACAGACUGGAGACGGAGCAAGUGUGGGAAGCUGAGGGGGAGAGGGCUGGUUGGGCUGAAUCCUGGCUGAACCUGACCUACAGUUGUGUGAACGAAACCAUCUCCUGCAGCUUGACUCCUCCUGGGCCUGGGGAACAGGACCUUUGUAGAGUGGGCAUCUGAUGAGCCAGAAGCUAGGGCUCUACAUGAGGUGGGAGACCCAAGAUGUUAUUAGAGCUCUGCACCAAGGAUGUAGCUGGCCUUCAAGGGGACAUUCUGGAUAAGAAAACAGUCAAAAUCAAGACUUGAAAAACUAAAUUACAUAAACUACAGGGAGGAGUCAAGUCACAAGAGCUCUUUUUUCUCUCCCUUAUGAGUCCUCCUCAUACAGCCAUAAUUCACUAAAGGAGUGUUUUGAGCAGUUCCCCAGCUGCAAGCCUUUGGACAGAAUGAAUGGGUGAAGGAAACAACUAGCCCAUACAUGGUGGUCUACUCCUAUUCAAAGGUACAAGCCUGAAAAAUUGAAAGAUGUGAAGCAGAGACAGCCAUCAGCCAUGAAGAAGACAGACAUGUUUGAAUCACUUUUAUCACUUUUUGUAUACACUGAUGUUUAAAACAGUAUUGUUUAAUGACAGCAUCUUCUCUAACGUACCCUGGAGUCCCUAAUUAGUGCUUACGCCACUGGAAGGAAUUAAUAAAUUUUUAAAUAAUUUCCACAGCUAAAUGAGGGAAUCCCAUAUUCCCAGUGUUAGCUGCAUGAGCAUUCUUGCAGUUGCUUCUGGAUUGAGUUCCCUGAUGCAGCAAGUUUCCUAUUUCAUGAGUUAUUGUGAGAGAAAAUCAUGUGCUAAAGGUGUAACCCAGCAAUGAAUCAGUAAAUAGCUGUUCUUCUGAAGAUCAGCUCAUUAAGAAGCAGACAUCUGAAUGAAAUAAAGUUCCUGGGGAGUCUGUGGCACCAGAUGUGCCAGAAAGGGAGGCAUGAAACCUUGUUAUAUGCCAUGACCAAGCAAAAGGAAUUUUUACCUAGGUAGAAUUUGUGGUUAAUAUUCUGCUCUUGUGCUUUGCUUAUUGAAGCCCCAGCGUGCUUUUGUUUAUGAUCUGGUUCUUGUUCAGCACAUUUACGUGCAACUGACUGCUCAAGUGGCUCAGUCACCUCGGGUGCAAAACGGAGCUAAGCUGAAAUGCUGAAAGCUGGAGCUUUGUUUGCAACAUGAAGAAAACCCAAACAAAAAUAUCAGAACUAAUUGUUGGACUUUUUUUGCUUUGACAAAAGCCUUAAUGAUAGCUUCCUUAUUCAAUAGAAUAGUUUUGUAUGGAUAUAUUACAACUAGUUAAAAGACUCCAAGAUUAUUCAGGUUUUACUUAAGUUUGUUAAUCAGAGAUAGCUGGCUGACACAGCAUUUGUUUAACUUAGCAAUACAAAGCAAUAUUCACAGCUUACAUUAAAUACUUCACAUGCCAAUCUCCAAUCAUGAUAUAAAAAGACCACAGAAAAAUUAAAUAAUCUUAACUCCCU